rnacentral:rRNA from 1 species
GAUGAACGCUGGCGGCGUGCUUAACACAUGCAAGUCGAACGAAGCACUUUAACUUGAUUUCUUCGGAUUGAUUGUUUUAGUGACUGAGUGGCGGACGGGUGAGUAACGCGUGGGUAACCUGCCUCAUACAGGGGGAUAACAGUUAGAAAUGACUGCUAAUACCGCAUAAGCACACAGUGUCGCAUGACACGGUGUGAAGAACUCCGGUGGUAUGAGAUGGACCCGCGUCUGAUUAGCUAGUUGGUGGGGUAACGGCCUACCAAGGCGACGAUCAGUAGCCGACCUGAGAGGGUGACCGGCCACAUUGGGACUGAGACACGGCCCAA